CAUGAUUUUUUAGUGGCUCAUCCACAAUGGGCCCAUCAGUUUGGUUGCCAACUAUUGAGCAAAUGUCCAAUUAUUUCCGAUUGAAGGCCAUUGUCCAUUUGUUCAAUCUGAACAUCCUAUGGUUGUGCCCUUUUUAGAAGCCUGUAACCUUAAUCCUUGCCAUUUUAGUAGAGCAUGUCAGUACUACCAAGUGAAAGAGAGAAGGGAAAAAUCCUAACUUACCAAAUAAAAUAGUCUCUUCAUGAAAUACAACUGGAUGGUGAGAUCGCCUUCUCACAUCCAUCCAGAAAUGAUAAAAUUAGUAUUUCUGUUUCCAUCACACCACAAACCCAUCUCCCCCACUCUUGUAUCCAAACUGCCACAGGCAAAUAUGCUAGCUUGAAACUUCCUUGUCUGCAUUUCUAUCAUUAACCUGCAUCCAAAGUAAGAUACAUGAAUCUCUCAUGGGGCAUGUAUGGGAUUUGCUUUGUUUACAACAAAAUACAUGUGUUUUACUGUCAGGGGAGUAUUCGGCCGAUGAUGCCUAGGAAUUUGUAGAGCUGCAAGAACAGAUCACUAAAGGCCAUAUUAAUGUCUGGGCUCUUCAUAAGAAAGAUUUUAAUCAAUUGUGCCUAAAUUUAGGCCUACAAGCACUUCAACCUUUUGAUGCCACUCGUGCUAGGAGUAGACCAUAUAGAGGAUUUGAUUUAUUUUUUUAAAAUUUAUUUAUUUAAAUUCAAGACCAUUUUCAAUUUAUUAUAAUAAAUAUUAUAUUUUAUUUUAUUGUGUAGUAAUAUAAAUUUUGUUUAAUAUUCAGUUUUAUUUGUAUUGCAUCA